rnacentral:hammerhead_ribozyme from 1 species
AUCCAGCUGACGAGUUCUAAAUAGGACAAAGCAACGUGAGUUCUGGAU